CACGUAGGGUGCGAGCGUUGUCCGGAAUUAUUGGGCGUAAAGAGCUCGUAGGCGGUGUGUCGCGUCGGCCGUGAAAACCUGCAGCUUAACUGUGGGCUUGCGGUCGAUACGGGCAUCACUGGAGUUCGGCAGGGGAGACUGGAAUUCCUGGUGUAGCGGUGAAAUGCGCAGAUAUCAGGAGGAACACCAGUGGCGAAGGCGGCUCACUGGCCCGAUACUGACGCUGAGGAGCGAAAGCGUGGGGAGCGAACAGG
rnacentral:rRNA from 1 species